rnacentral:rRNA from 2 species
UGGGGAAUAUUGCACAAUGGGCGGAAGCCUGAUGCAGCGACGCCGCGUGGGGGAUGACGGCCUUCGGGUUGUAAACUCCUUUCGACAGGGACGAAGCGCAAGUGACGGUACCUGUAUAAGAAGCACCGGCUAACUACGUGCCAGCAGCCGCGGUAAUACGUAGGGUGCGAGCGUUGUCCGGAAUUACUGGGCGUAAAGAGCUCGUAGGUGGUUUGUCGCGUCGUCUGUGAAAUUCCGGGGCUUAACUCCGGGCGUGCAGGCGAUACGGGCAUAACUUGAGUGCUGUAGGGGAGACUGGAAUUCCUGGUGUAGCGGUGAAAUGCGCAGAUAUCAGGAGGAACACCGAUGGCGAAGGCAGGUCUCUGGGCAGUUACUGACGCUGAGGAGCGAAAGCAUGGGUAGCGAACAGG